AAGAUUAUUUCAGAUUUUAUCACUAUCCGGACUGCUAUCUACUAUCUACCUAUCUAGCUACCCGGGCUCGUUGUGAGGCGGGACCCAACCCUCCACUUCACUCCACUGCUUCAACAAAAAUGGAUCCAUCAUCUGCUACCCAUGAGUAAUAACGUUACGAAUCUACCACUGAUCCCGAGGGCAAGUAUGAAAAAGAGAGUCAAGCAAGGUUGGAUUCGUAUGUUCCAUUUGAGUAAGCCUCUGAUGCCCUGUGCACAUAGCUUCUUGCAUGCCCGAUGGCAGAUCUCCCAACCUGGAGUAUAUUCCCGGCCCCGUAGCUUAGCUUAA
rnacentral:rRNA from 1 species